rnacentral:rRNA from 1 species
GAUGAACGCUGGCGGCGUGCCUAAUACAUGCAAGUCGAGCGAACGGACGAGAAGCUUGCUUCUCUGAUGUUAGCGGCGGACGGGUGAGUAACACGUGGAUAACCUACCUAUAAGACUGGGAUAACUUCGGGAAACCGGAGCUAAUACCGGAUAAUAUUUUGAACCGCAUGGUUCAAAAGUGAAAGACGGUCUUGCUGUCACUUAUAGAUGGAUCCGCGCUGCAUUAGCUAGUUGGUAAGGUAACGGCUUACCAAGGCAACGAUGCAUAGCCGACCUGAGAGGGUGAUCGGCCACACUGGAACUGAGACACGGUCCAGACUCCUACGGGAGGCAGCAGUAGGGAAUCGUCCGCAAUGGGCGAAAGCCUGACGGAGCAACGCCGCGUGAGUGAUGAAGGUCCUCGGAUCGUAAAACUCUGUUAUUAGGGAAGAACAUAUGUGUAAGUAACUGUGCACAUCGUGACGGUACCUAAUCAGAAAGCCACGGCUAACUACGUG